rnacentral:ncRNA from 1 species
UCUUAUUAAGAGUGGUGGAGGGACUGGCCCUUUGAAGCCCAGCAACCUGUAAUUAUUUAUUACGUGGUGCUAAAUCCUGCAGGUUUAUCCUGACAGAUAAGA